rnacentral:rRNA from 1 species
UAACGAAUCUUCCGCAAUGGGCGCAAGCCUGACGGAGCAAUGCCGCGUGUAGGAUGAAGCGUCUCUGACGUGUAAACUACUGUCAGGGGUUGGAACCAACGAUUGACCCCAAAGGAAGUGGCGACUAACUCUGUGCCAGCAGUCGCGGUAAUACAGAGGCCACGAGCGUUAUUCGGAAUCACUGGGCUUAAAGGGUGCGUAGGCGGGUCCGUAAGUGCUUUGUGAAAUCCCUCGGCUCAACCGGGGAAUUGCAGGGCAUACUGCGGGUCUUGAGGAAGGUAGGGGUCGCGAGAACAGUAGGUGGAGCGGUGAAAUGCGUAGAUAUCUACUGGAAUGCCGAUGGUGAAGACGCGCGACUGGGCCUUUCCUGACGCUGAGGCACGAAAGCGUGGGGAGCAAA